CGGAUCCUGACUUCAGCUCCAGAGCGGGAUCCCCCAAGGUCGCAUUCACAGGCAACGCACUUAAAACAAUGUAAAUGAUAACAAAGACCAAGAGACUCAAUGAUCAUGGCUGCUCCUUUGCCCAGAACGUUAUUACAGUAUGAACAGAUUUUCUUCCCACUGACUGACCUGCUGCGCAUCUGCGACCCUGGUUGAGAAGCAGAGACAGGAGACUGCACCCGGGGGGCUGUCUGGGAUGCAGGUGGGGCUCUCACAGAGGUGGUCACAGGAG
rnacentral:lncRNA from 1 species